GAGGGUAUAGCUCAAGUGGUAGAGUGCAUGCCUAGCAUGCAUGAGGUCCUGGGUUCAAUCCCCAGUACCUCCU
rnacentral:tRNA from 1 species